AGAGCAUAUUAUUUAUUUAUUCAGCCAGCCACACUCAUUUUUAAAGAGCUAACUUCCAUUUUGUUUCUGACACCAAAAAUAAAUCAAACUAAAAACUGUAUACAUCAUAACUGAAAAAAAAAUACAUAUUUGCAUGGUAUGUCGCCCCUGUGAAGCCUCAGCUGCGACCUGCAAAAGGAAUUUUUGUGUAAAAAAAAAAAAAGAGAGAGAGAGAUGAAUUCAUUCUGCACUGGCCUUCCCUGAGGGUACAGAUAGGAUCGAAAAGACAAAAAUAAGGUUUUAAUUCACUAGUGAUUUUCCCACCCCGUCUCAAGCUUCUUUUUGAUUCUUAGCAUCCAUUUUCCUGGGUCGUCUUGGGAGGGUUGCAAGAUUUCAAUCCAUUAACACAGUAGUAGGUUGGUGAAAUUUCAGAACAGGCUGAGAUGAACAGCCACAAUGAGGACACAGCUGCCCUGGGGCUCCCGGCAGAGAACUCAGCCUAUGAUUCAGCUCCUAGCCCAUGAUCUGGCGCCCUAAGGGAGGGGAUCUCUUUGAAGAGCCCUCUUUUCUCUCCUCUACUUCCCCGACUUGGGAGAAAUCCAGUCUUGCCCCCUAGUCCAUAUCAGCUCUCUGAUUUUGGAGCAGCUCCUUGGCACUAAAUAUACCUGCACCAUUGACUGUCUUCCACCCUCCCUCCCCUCCUCACCCCGCCCCGCCCCCCACGCACCUCCUCAUUCCCUCCCCAGCAAGCGCUUUUGGCGUACUACAGGUAUCUUCCCAAGCUACCCCAAGGUUGAUUCUAGGACAGUGGCUCUCAAACUUAAGUCUGCAUCUAAACUACGUGGACAAAGUGCUACACGGUUCUCGGUCAGUAAGUCUCGGGUAUGAGCUGGGGAUUUGCAUUCCUGUUAAGUUUAAUACUGAGACAAGUGCUUGGAGAACCUGUUUUCUGGGAUGAGGCAAAGGGAGGGGAUACCCGUAGUAGCUUGUGCUGUGGUGCCAUCUAGUGGACAUAGACCACAAUAGCAGCAGUCUGCCCUGUGGAGUGCACAAGACUUCAUUCCACUCCUUUAAACACUUCAAAAACCAUUCUCUUUUACGACUCUACUUCUUAAGGUGGGCCUUUUACUGUUUAAAUGCUCUCUUUCCACCCUCUGAAUAAGACCAUUACAAACUAUGCCCUGCCGAAUAUGGAUGAAAUGAAACAGGAAACUGGGUGUUUUGAAACGAAACUGCACACCCUGAUUUUGAUAACUGUCCCCCAGAUACAUCUGACCUAAGGCACAACACUGCACACAUGGCAGACAGCAGGCCAUCACCCAGAUCACACAAUAAUUAGCUCUAACCCCAAACCAGGACCCAAGGAUUCCAUGUUGUCUCAACCCAGGGGGAAGCACACCACUUUAGAAGUAACUGGACAACCCUGAGGACGUGGCUGUUGGGGAGAACUUAUCAGAGCACACUCGGAACCCUAGGUUCUCUCUCCAGCAUGACCUGAACUGGAUAUAGUGGUCACACCUGUAAUCCCAGCCUGGCAGUUGGGAGAUCGAAAUGGGAAGGUUGAAAGCUCAAAGUCAACCAGGGGGUGCUGACGGACAACUUUAAUUCCAGCACCAGGGGAGCAGAGGCAGGUGGACCUCUGUGAGUUUGAGGCUAGCCUGGUCUACAGAGCAAGUUCCAGGAUACACAGAAAAACCUUGUCUC
rnacentral:lncRNA from 1 species